rnacentral:rRNA from 1 species
UACGGGAGGCAGCAGUGGGGAAUAUUGCACAAUGGGCGCAAGCCUGAUGCAGCCAUGCCGCGUGUAUGAAGAAGGCCUUCGGGUUGUAAAGUACUUUCAGUCGUGAGGAAGGUGUUAAGGUUAAUAACCUUAGCAAUUGACGUUAGCGACAGAGAAGCACCGGCUAACUCCGUGCCAGCAGCCGCGGUAAUACGGAGGGUGCGAGCGUUAAUCGGAAUUACUGGGCGUAAAGGGCACGCAGGCGGUUAAUUAAGUUGGAUGUGAAAUCCCCGGGCUUAACCUGGGAAUGGCAUUCAAGACUGGUUAGCUAGAGUCUUGUAGAGGGGGUAGAAUUCCAUGUGUAGCGGUGAAAUGCGUAGAGAUGUGGAGGAAUACCGGUGGCGAAGGCGGCCCCUGGACAAAGACUGACGCUCAUGUGCGAAAGCGUGGGGAGCAAAC